rnacentral:rRNA from 1 species
UACGGGGGGGGCAAGCGUUGUUCGGAAUUACUGGGCGUAAAGGGCUCGUAGGUGGCCAACUAAGUCAGACGUGAAAUCCCUCGGCUUAACCGGGGAACUGCAUCUGAUACUGGAUGGCUUGAGUUCGGGAGAGGGAUGCGGAAUUCCAGGUGUAGCGGUGAAAUUCGUAGAUAUUCGGAGGAACACCAGUGGCGAAGGCGGCUCACUGGCUCGAUACUGACGCUGAGGUGCGAAAGCGUGGGGAGCAAACAGG